UCCAGCAGCAGGAUGUCCCGCAGCUGCCUCCGGAGGCUCUCGUUCUCCCGCUUGGUCCUGGCGGUCUCCUCCCGGUACUCGGUGACCGUGUCCCCCACCACGUCCAGGAUCUCCUUCACCACCACCGUCAGCCGCUCCGUCAGGAUCCUUUCUUAAGUUUCUGGCACCAGCAGCAGCAACGGAAAAUGAUAAGGUGCCACCUCCAAAUGCUGAUGAUGCAGUUCAGUCAACAUCUACCUCCAGUGGGGCGUCAACAUCUGCCUCCAGUGGGGCGUCAACAUCUGCCUCCAGUGGGACAGCAACAUCUUUUCAUCAUGAAGAUGACACGUCAACCCCUAGCUCCAGCAGCACUACCACGACUACAAAAGGUUUGAUCACAUCAGACGACCCUGCACAAUGGCCAAAUGUCCUAAAUGAUAGUGAAAAGUGUGCACUAGUAACACAAGGACCAAUACAAGAAAAAUAUAUAGUCUUUCCGCAGAAUACUGAAAAAACUUCACGUAGAUUUACAAAGGAAAACUAUUCUGGUUUUAAUUGUUCUUUAUAUUUAUAUGCGUGAUUUUUUUUCGUUUUUGUAUGUCUUUUAUAUUCAUAUUACUAACUAAUAACUAAUGGCCCGUCCAAACAGCGGCGUGCGUUGAAGCUUCCAACGCUUCUGCCCAUUCACUUUGAAUGGGGUGACGUCACUUUUAGCCGAAAUGCAUU